UACGAAGGGGGCUAGCGUUGCCCGGAAUUAUUGGGCGUAAAGCGCUCGUAGGCGGCUUUCUAAGUCGGGGGUGAAAUCCUGGAGCUCAACUCCAGAACUGCCUUCGAUACUGGAGAGCUCGAGUCCGGGAGAGGUGAGUGGAACUGCGAGUGUAGAGGUGAAAUUCGUAGAUAUUCGCAAGAACACCAGUGGCGAAGGCGGCUCACUGGCCCGGUACUGACGCUGAGGUGCGAAAGCGUGGGGAGCAAACAGG
rnacentral:rRNA from 1 species